rnacentral:rRNA from 1 species
UACAGAUGGGGCAAGCGUUGUUCGGAAUUACUGGGCGUAAAGGGCGCGUAGGCGGCCUUCUAAGUCGAACGUGAAAUCCCCGGGCUCAACCCGGGAACUGCGUCCGAUACUGGAAGGCUUGAAUCCGGGAGAGGGAUGCGGAAUUCCAGGUGUAGCGGUGAAAUGCGUAGAUAUUGGGAGGAACACCAGUGGCGAAGGCGGCUCACUGGACCGGUACUGACGCUGAGGCGCGAAAGCGUGGGUAGCAAACAGG